rnacentral:rRNA from 1 species
UACGGAGGGAGCUAGCGUUAUUCGGAAUUACUGGCGUAAAGCGCACGUAGGCGGCUUUGUAAGUAAGAGGUGAAAGCCCAGAGCUCAACUCUGGAAUUGCCUUUUAGACUGCAUUCGCUUGAAUCAUGGAGAGGUCAGUGGAAUUCCGAGUGUAGAGGUGAAACUUCGUAGAUAUUCGGAAGAACACCAGUGGCGAAGGCGGCUGACUGGACAUGUAUUGACGCUGAGGUGCGAAAGCGUGGGGAGCAACAGG